GAUGAACGCUGGCGGCGUGCCUAAUACAUGCAAGUCGAGCGAAUGGAUUAAGAGCUUGCUCUUAUGAAGUUAGCGGCGGACGGGUGAGUAACACGUGGGUAACCUGCCCAUAAGACUGGGAUAACUCCGGGAAACCGGGGCUAAUACCGGAUAACAUUUUGAACUGCAUGGUUCAAAAUUGAAAGGCGGCUUCGGCUGUCACUUAUGGAUGGACCCGCGUCGCAUUAGCUAGUUGGUGAGGUAACGGCUCACCAAGGCAACGAUGCGUAGCCGACCUGAGAGGGUGAUCGGCCACACUGGGACUGAGACACGGCCCAGACUCCUACGGGAGGCAGCAGUAGGGAAUCUUCCGCAAUGGACGAAAGUCUGACGGAGCAACGCCGCGUGAGUGAUGAAGGCUUUCGGGUCGUAAAACUCUGUUGUUAGGGAAGAACAAGUGCUAGUUGAAUAAGCUGACACCUUGACGGUACCUAACCAGAGAGCCACGGCUAACUACGUGCCAGCCGCCGCCGUAA
rnacentral:rRNA from 1 species